CUGAACUUGCAGCGCGCGGUGUGGAAAGGGUGGCCUGGAGUGCGGGGCGGGCGACUCGCGCCUCCGCGCGCCCCUCCCUCUCUUCCUUCCCUGCGCGCCGGGCUCCCGGCUGCCCCCGCCCCCUCCUGCGCUCCCCCCCCUUUCCCUCCUGCGGCGGCUUCCGAUUGGCCGCCGGGCUCUGACGUCUGUGUUUCCAUGACGUGUCGGGCCGGGGAGGGCCGCGGGAGGGGGCGGCGGGGGAGGAGGGGGCGGCGACUCCGUCAGUCACCGCCGGUGCCUGGGCGCGCGGCCGGGCGGCUCCUGCAACGUGAGGAAGCCGGAGAGCUACGACUGCCGCAGCAGCGGGACGCCCUUCACCUAGGGUCCCCGCUCUAGUCGCCCCCGGGGGGGGGGGGGCGAAGCCCGGUCACCGGAUGGUAGAGCGGCUCGGCGCCCGCUCCCUAGCGGACCUGUCUCCUGUCCCGGACAGUGACGCACUCGCCCGACAGCCUAAGUGCCUUCCCUUUUGGGAAGAGAGCCCACUCGCCCUGUAGGCGCGCUGGCCCGGCCACCGACACCGGGGAUCCCCCGCUGCAGCGCCCAAACGGUGUCCUCUAGCCGGUGCAAGCAGGCCUCGCAAGGUCCACGCUUGAAGUCCUCGUGUUUCUCUUUUGGACUGCUUUUUCCCCCCCUACCUGUGGCGAGCUAGUGGGUGUUUAAUUCAUAAUACUUAAACCUUACCCUCUUCUUUCCCGAGGAGAAAGAAACGAAACGAAACGGAAAAAAAAAAAAAAAUCAUGCAGAGUACCGUGCAGGAUUUAGAUGGUAAAAGGGUUUCAUCACCAUGAUAAAACAGCAGCAUCAGUGGAGCGGAGCCAGCCAGAGCUUAGAAGACAAGCUGUGUGCUGCAGAGGGAGUAACCCAAGGCCUUCGGAGGGAGCCCAGAAGAUUUAAGGAACUAGCUACAUUUCGAGCUCCAUAAUAAUAUGGUAGGCAAGACAGACACGAGGAUCCUCGUCUGGUACGAAGAACAAAGAAAAGCAAUUCUAGUGUAACGUGGUCAGCAGUCGAGUCUCACCCUUGGAGAUUGUUUUUUCAAAGUCAAGUUGUCCCUGUUCCGGUGCUCCCUGUGAUCUGCUUCCUUCACAACCCAACUUCCGGUGUGCUUCUCAUUCGUAAAAACCAUAACCUCAUCAAGUUCACAAAGAUUAAAAUCAAAUUAAAAUUAAAAUUAAAA